GCCUGGAUAGUUCAGUUGGUUAGAGCAAGGCACUGGUAACGCCAAGGUUGCAGGUUCGAACCCUGCAUGGGACA